GACGAACGCUGGCGGCGUGCUUAACACAUGCAAGUCGAACGGAAAGGCCCUGCUUUUGUGGGGUGCUCGAGUGGCGAACGGGUGAGUAACACGUGAGUAACCUGCCCUUGACUUUGGGAUAACUUCAGGAAACUGGGGCUAAUACCGGAUAGGAGCUCCUGCUGCAUGGUGGGGGUUGGAAAGUUUCGGCGGUUGGGGAUGGACUGGCGGCUUAUCAGCUUGUUGGGGGGGUAGUGGCUUACCAAGGCUUUGACGGGUAGCCGGCCUGAGAGGGUGACCGGCCACAUUGGGCCUGAGAUACGGCCCAGACUCCUACGGGAGGCAGCAGUGGGGAAUAUUGCACAAUGGGCGGAAGCCUGAUGCAGCAACGCCGCGUGCGGGAUGACGGCCUUCGGGUUGUAAACCGCUUUCGCCUGUGACGAAGCGUGAGUGACGGUAAUGGGUAAAGAAGCACCGGCUAACUACGUG
rnacentral:rRNA from 1 species